AGAGUUUGAUCCUGGCUCAGAUUGAACGCUGGCGGCAUGCCUUACACAUGCAAGUCGAACGGCAGCAUGAUCUAGCUUGCUAGAUUGAUGGCGAGUGGCGAACGGGUGAGUAAUACAUCGGAACGUGCCCUGUAGUGGGGGAUAACUAGUCGAAAGAUUAGCUAAUACCGCAUACGACCUGAGGGUGAAAGUGGGGGACCGCAAGGCCUCAUGCUAUAGGAGCGGCCGAUGUCUGAUUAGCUAGUUGGUGAGGUAAAGGCUCACCAAGGCGACGAUCAGUAGCUGGUCUGAGAGGACGAUCAGCCACACUGGGACUGAGACACGGCCCAGACUCCUACGGGAGGCAGCAGUGGGGAAUUUUGGACAAUGGGCGAAAGCCUGAUCCAGCAAUGCCGCGUGUGUGAAGAAGGCCUUCGGGUUGUAAAGCACUUUUGUCCGGAAAGAAAUGGCUCUGGUUAAUACCUGGGGUCGAUGACGGUACCGGAAGAAUAAGGACCGGCUAUCUACGUGCCAGCAGCCGCGGUAAUGCGUA
rnacentral:rRNA from 1 species